UAGGGAAUCUUCGGCAAUGGACGCAAGUCUGACCGAGCAACGCCGCGUGAGUGAAGACGGUUUUCGGAUCGUAAAGCUCUGUUGUAGGGGAAGAACGUGUGUAAGAGUGGAAAGCUUACACAGUGACGGUACCCUACCAGAAAGGGACGGCUAACUACGUGCCAGCAGCCGCGGUAAUACGUAGGUCCCGAGCGUUGUCCGGAUUUAUUGGGCGUAAAGGGAGCGCAGGCGGUUUAGUAAGUCUGAAGUUAAAGGCAUUGGCUCAACCAAUGUAUGCUUUGGAAACUGUUAGACUUGAGUGCAGAAGGGGAGAGUGGAAUUCCAUGUGUAGCGGUGAAAUGCGUAGAUAUAUGGAGGAACACCGGUGGCGAAAGCGGCUCUCUGGUCUGUCACUGACGCUGAGGCUCGAAAGCGUGGGUAGCGAACAGGAUUAGAUACCCUGGUAGUCCACGCCGUAAACGCUGAGUGCUAGGUGUUAGGUCCUUUCCGGGACUUAGUGNCGACGCUAACGCAUUAAGCACUCCGCCUGGGGAGUACGACCGCAAGGUUG
rnacentral:rRNA from 1 species